AUACGGUGGCGUGUGUACGGGUCGGCACCACCUGAAAAUUCUCUCUCUUUAUAUCUCUCUCAAUUAUGGUGGCGGUGUGGUUGGUGGUUUUCAUCGGAAAUUUCUCUCUCUGUCUCAAAUCUGGAGGUGGUAUUGGAGUUCGCCGGAGAACAGAACUCCGAUGAUGGUUGGUGGUUGCUGCUAUUGUCGUUGGUGGUGUUGGAGUUAGUUUUUGUAUAAUAGUGUAUAAUAUACAAACCUCUUAUACACUAUUAUACAUUUUUAUACACCUAUAUACAUAAUGUAUAUGUCCGGUAUAAUAGUGCAAUUCUUAUUCAAAACAGUCCAGAUCUAUGUUUAUACCUACUUAUGCAAUAUUGUAUAAUUGUGUAUAAGAGCAUAUUUUUGUGUAUAAUAUUGUAUAAGUAUAUUUUUCGUGUAUAUACCUAUACAUAUACAAUAUUUUAUAAUUGUGUAUAAGUGCAUAUUUUCGUAUAUAAUAUUGUAUAAGUAUAUUUUUUAGUGUAUAUACCUACACAUUGUAUAAUUGUGUAUAAGUGCGUAUUUUCGUGUAUAAUAUUGUGUAAUUAUAUUUUUUAGAUUGUACACCUUCAAAACCUAUAUACAUAAUGUACCUGUCUUUUAUAUACAAGUAUAUAACACUGUAUAAAAGUGUUUUGGGUUAAAGCUUUGCAAUGUGAGUUUUGAGUUAUUUUUUGGCAAUGUAAGUGAGCAAAAUGUAUAUUUAUGAAAUUUCCCCUAUUUUAAGUUCUUCUUCAACCCAAUCAAUAUAUAUGCAUUCCAAAUAUACUUUGGGAUCAAAGGGGUUGAUAACUUUGAACCAAAGAACAAUUGUUCUUCUUUGAAACCUCCAUUACUCUAUUUGAGGUAAUACAUGGAACUUCCCCUUUACUUUCUUAGGAUAUCUACUAAGUUGCUCGGACUCGGGUGCGGAUAUCCGAUACGGGUACUGAUUCGAGGGUCAGAUUCGGCAAAACCUAAAUAUUAGGAUUCAGGGUGAGGAUCCAUGUAUGGAUACGAGUGUUAGGAUUCAGAUAAGAAAAUUCAAAAAUAUGAAAAUAGAGCACAACCCCUUGAAUUCUUGGUUUCUCUCUGUUUGACGAAAACAUGAAGCAGUGAAUAUGAGACAAAAGUACUACAAUAUUGAAGGUAUACCAUUUACCAUGUCUUAAAUCUAUUUUUUCUUUUAUUUUUGAGAAAUUAAAAUCUCAAUUCCCCCCCCCCCCCCCCCCCAAAUUUGUCGAUGGACUGCGGUCAAAAUAUUCGAAGUUGGUUGACCGAAUCCGAAACGUAUCCGCACCCAUCAAGUCUCAUGUCGAGACAGGUUCGGAAUAAAAAAUGAAGAGCCCACGCAACUUAGGAUAUCUAUAUAUGUAUAUAUCCUGAAUAUCUAUUAGCAGCAGUAUGUACUAUCUUUGAUGUAUAGAAAAGCUCUCUGUAUAUUGCAGGAGUAGAUGAGGAUUUCAAAGAGCAAAUCUUUGGCUGAUAUGAAUCUAUCACUAGGUGAUCUACCAUUUAAAUACCUAGGAGUUCCCUUAUAAACUGGGAAAUUAUCUAUAUAUUAAUGCUUGCCACUAGUUGAAAAGAUGAUCUCCAGGAUCAAGUGACGGUCUUCAAAGCUAUUAUCCUACAGUGGUAGACUACAACUAGUGAAGAGUGUGUUGUUUGAAAUGCAAACCUAUUGGGCACACAUAUUUUUACUACCAAAGAAGAUCAUAUCGAUGGUAACAUCUGGUUGUAGGACCUUUCUUUGGACUGGGAGUAACAACUGCUCAAGAAAAGCAUUAGUAGCCUGGGAAAAGAUAUGCAGACCUAAAAUAGCAGGGGGACUGAAUGUUAUUGACAUGUUAACUUGGAAUAGAGCAGCAAUCUGCAAAUUACUUUGGCCUGUGGAACAAAAGAAAGACAAAUUGUGGGUUCUAUGGGUACAUACUUUCUAUGUAAAAUCCCAAGAUUUGAGUCAAAUGGAAACACCAAAGCAAGCUUGCUGGUUACUCCGGAAGGUGAUUGAUGCAAGGAAGUGUCUCACUAGUAAUGAUUCCUCACACAACUCUCUACACCAAAUGACAUACAAAGGAGAAUUCAGCAUAAAAA